GAUGAACGCUGGCGGCGUGCCUAACACAUGCAAGUCGAGCGAUUCUCUUCGGAGAAGAGCGGCGGACGGGUGAGUAACGCGUGGGUAACCUGCCCUGUACACACGGAUAACAUACCGCAAGGUAUGCUAAUACGAGAUAAUAUGCUUUUAUCGCAUGGUAGAAGUAUCAAAGCUCCGGCGGUACAGGAUGGACCCGCGUCUGAUUAGCUAGCUGGUAAGGUAACGGCUUACCAAGGCGACGAUCAGUAGCCGACCUGAGAGGGUGAUCGGCCACAUUGGAACUGAGACACGGUCCAAACUCCUACGGGAGGCAGCAGUGGGGAAUAUUGCACAAUGGGCGAAAGCCUGAUGCAGCAACGCCGCGUGAGCGAUGAAGGCCUUCGGGUCGUAAAGCUCUGUCCUCAAGGAAGAUAAUGACGGUACUUGAGGAGGAAGCCCCGGUUAACUACGUGCCAGCCGCCGCGGUAA
rnacentral:rRNA from 1 species